rnacentral:rRNA from 1 species
UACGUAGGUGGCAAGCGUUGUCCGGAUUUACUGGGCGUAAAGAGCGCGCAGGCGGUCGUUCAAGUCGCGUGUGAAAGCCCCCGGCUCAACUGGGGAGGGUCACGCGAUACUGAUCGACUCGAAGGCAGGAGAGGGUAGUGGAAUUCCCGGUGUAGUGGUGAAAUGCGUAGAUAUCAGGAAGAACACCAAUGGCGAAAGCAGCUCUCUGGGACGGUACUGACGCUGAGACGCGAAAGCGUGGGGAGCGAACAGG